CAAGGACAGACAGUUAGUGCUCACGAGUCUUUCUUCCCUUCAUGCUCUUCCACUUUGAUCUUUGACAAAUCAAACGCUGGGAAAAAGCAGACUGAAGAAAGGAAACUGGAGUCACUGGAGACAGAGGGGCAAAGUCGAGGGCUUGGGGCUGGCUCUGGAUGACGGCGGACUCUCGCUCCAAGGACCUUAAUUGGCUGAUAGAAUGAUUGCAUUGGCCAAGGGUCCAAUUAAUACCCAAGAUUUGAGGAUUGGUUUUCCAAUCCUCGGUUGGAUGAGUUUCCUGGCAAGCAAAGGCUACCACUGUGAAUUCAAUUCACGUCCGUAACUCCGCACCCACUCUAUAAUACACGUGAUACAUGAAGUAGGAGUCCUUGGCAUCCAGCCACAGGCCUCUGCUACAGCACGCGUGCUCACUCAUGCCUCCGAUCAUCCAGAGGGCCAGCUGCUUCAGCAUCUGCCUGCUAAUCAUUCUCUGGUGUGUCACCCAGCCUGCCUGACUCCCCGGGGUUGUGGCUGCAGGCUUGCUAUAUUCUGCCCUGCUAUAGGCUGAAGCAACUUCUUUAUUAACCAACGGUAAUAAGAUAUAUUCAUAGCAGACAGAGGAGAAUCCCACAUGAUGGGGCUAUGGUCAUCUCCAGGCUGGGCAAGAGCUGGAGGGUCUCCAUGUAAGAUGGCACCCUUGGUUCUUCUCAUGUCACACUGUCUAUGGAGCUCCAUGAGUAUUUUCCCAGCAUGGUGCUGAUGUCACUUACAGUGAGUGAGCUGUAUAGAAGAGAUCAAGGAAGAUACCUCAUUCUCUCAUUAUAUGACCUUAGAAAUCGUGCUUUUCUGGAAAUAUCUUGUUGUUUACACAAGUAAGCCCUGCUCAGGACGACAGGAAACUACGCAAGAGAUUGAGUAACAGGAGACAAGGAUGGGUGGGGUCAUCUUGGAGAGUGAAUACUGUAGUCACUGUACAUUUUACAACUAUAGCUACCUCCCAGGGCUCCAUCUAAGAUUUAAGGGAAGUAUCUGAGUGUUGUGGGAUAUAAUAUUUUUUAACUAAGUAAAGAUGUAUUACAGUUGUGUGUGUUGCAGAAUAAUUAUUUAACUAUGUAAGG